AGAUCACAGCCUCCACCCUGAAAACUACUUAUUAGACCGGUCACACCCUAAGCAGGAGUCUCUCCCAGUCAGGACUCAGUGCAGACAUGAGGGUCUCCAGUCAGCUUCUGGGGCUUCUGCUUCUCUGGAUCCCAGGUAACAAAUGUGACAUCCAGAUGACUCAGUCUCCCUCCUCCAUAUCUGCAUCCAUAGGAGAGAGAGUCACCAUCAGUUGCAGGGCAAGUCAGGGUAUAAACAAAUGGUUAGCUUGGUAUCAACAGAAACCAGGGAAAGCUCCUAAACUACUGAUCUACAAAGCAAACAUUUUGGAAUCCGGGGUCCCCUCUCGGUUCAGUGGCAGUGGAGAAGGGACAGAUUUCACUCUCACCAUCAGCAGUCUGGAACCUGAGGAUGUUGCAACUUACUACUGUCAGCAGUAUGAUAGCACCCCUCCCACAGUGAUACAAGCCAUAACAUAAACCCCCAAGGAAGCA